UGGUGCUCCAGCCCGGCGACCGGGUGCGCGUGGUGGGCCCGCGCGAGCGGAUGGGCGAGAUCAGCGCGCUGCUCGGCGACAGCGAGCGCCGC
rnacentral:tRNA from 1 species